rnacentral:rRNA from 1 species
CAAGAUAGAGUUUGAUCCUGGCUCAGGAACGAACGCUGGCGGCGUGCCUAACACAUGCAAGUCGAACGUGAUUCGCCCUUCGGGGGUGGUGAAAGUGGCGCACGGGUGAGUAACGCGUGGAUAAUCUGCCCGAGGAUUUGGGAUAACAUCUCGAAAGGGGUGCUAAUACCGAAUAAGCCCACGGGGUCUACGGAUCUUGCGGGAAAAGGGGGGGACCUUCGGGCCUCCUGGUCCUUGGGAUGAGUCUGCGUACCAUUAGCUAGUUGGUGGGGUAAUGGCCUACCAAGGCGACGAUGGUUAGCUGGUCUGAGAGGAUGAUCAGCCACACUGGAACUGAGACACGGUCCAGACUCCUACGGGAGGCAGCAGUGGGGAAUUUUGCGCAAUGGGGGAAACCCUGACGCAGCAACGCCGCGUGGGUGAUGAAGGCCUUCGGGUCGUAAAGCUCUGUCUGGAGGGAAGAAAUGAUUGGGAGCUAAUACCUCUUGAUCUUGACGGUACCUCUGAAGGAAGCACCGGCUAACUCCGUGCCAGCAGCCGCGGUAAUACGGAGGGUGCAAGCGUUGUUCGGAAUUAUUGGGCGUAAAGCGCGUGUAGGCGGCCUUUUAAGUCUGAUGUGAAAGCCCGGGGCUCAACCUGGGAAGUGCAUUGGAAACUGGGAGGCUUGAGUACGGAGAGGAGAGUGGAAUUCCUAGUGUAGGAGUGAACUCCGUAGAUAUAGGAGGACACCGGUGGCGAAGGCGGUCUCUGGACCGAUACUGACGCUGAGACGCGAAAGCGUGGGUAGCAACAGGAUUAGAUACCCUGGUAGCUCCACGCCGUAACGAUGAGUACUAGGUGUUGCGG